AAUAUAAUUGCAUGAAUAAAAAGCUACACACUAACUAGAAUUGUCCACCCCCUACUGUCACUUUGAAGCAAUUUUUACCAAAGACUGAAUUUAAAGCACUGGACUUCAGAGUCAGGUACAAUCCCUUUGAGGUCUGUUGGAAAUAUUACUUUGCCUAUGGCUUCAAGCUUCCCUGCAGAAUAAAACCCAGUAUUAGUAUAAAUGUAAUCUCAAAGAGACAAUACCCCAUUUUACCAUGAACACUUUUCAAUUUAUCCUGCUCCAAAAACAAAUACUAUUUAAGGACAGUAUGAUAGAAGAAGUAAAUCCUCAGAAAUCUUCACAAAGAAUGAAAAUUCCUCAUUGUACAAGGAAAUAUUAUUCUGCUGUAUUUCUUAUAAAUGCAUUCAGCUGUCCUCAUGAUGAAUCUAUUGAAGCAUCUAAGCAGAAGAGUUGAAAAGAGACAGUAUGAAAAAUGGAUGCUUUUUUCUUUUUUUAAAGUUCUUGCUUGAACAACACACACUGCCUUGCUCCUUCCCCCACCCCAAAAAAACAUCCAAGCACCAAAAAUUAUUACUGAAUUGUCAGUUUGCACUUCAAAUUCUUCAUUUUAAAAAUGAGCACAUUUCACCAGAUGGUAACCUGCAACAACUAGCAGGCAUACAGAUCCACUAUCAAACUGACAUGGAUGGGACAGAGCAAAUAAAUAAUUUGUUUUUCUAAACAUCUGAGAAACUUCCCUGGAGAGGUUAAGUAUGUCAGAAGUGAAAAAUUUCCAUCAAGAAUACUUCAAUAAGAGUUCAUUAUUGUAUCUCUAGAGAAGAAGGAAAAGAGGGGAAAAAAAAAAUGGAUAGACAGCAGCGGCAAUCACUCUAAGGCUUUUAUCACUCCAGUAAUGCUGAUUACUAUCACUCUUGGUCUCAGUCAAAAGUUAGUAAUGAGCUACACACAUUUAUCCCUUUAGAUUUCUAGAUCAAAUAUUUUGGCAACAUAGAAAUUUAUAUAAAAUAUAUUUCAGAGACUUCACACUGAGCUGUGAAGACAGUCACAAAGAAAAGGGAAUGUUAUUUUUGAAGAAAAACAGUAAUAAUUAAUAUAUUUGAUACAAAAGAUGAUCUCUGCUAUCAAAAUUUAUCUGAAGAUACAAGACUGCUAAACUAGAGUGUCUAAAAGUGUCUUCUGAAUUAAUUAGAAAUGUGUAAGUUUAAAGAAAUGGGGAAGGAAAGAGGGGCAGAAGAGAGAAAAUCACUUAGUGCUUCCUGGAGAAUCAAAGAAAUGAGAUUAAUUACAAAAUACGUCAAACUUCACAGGCAAAUGGUUUUCUCUCGUAAAAGGCUUCUUUCAUGAAAGAGAUGGUGACUUCUUCGUGAUGUGCUGCUACACAUAGUCAAGGGACAGAAGCUUUCAACAGGCAUAACAGGCAAGACAGGAGAUCUGAUAGAAAUGGGAGAUGAAUGAGCAGAGCUAUAGCAGAUAUGUGGAUGGCAUUGAGAGCAGACAAGCUUGGGUAUCAAAAUGUAUAUUAAAAAAAAAAUGCAUUUUUCAUACACAUUGAUUUAAAGCUGUGUGGAGUCUGAUACAACCCAAAAUGCUCCUAAAAGUUACUGGCAGGCAUCUGGAGAGGGUGUCCCUUUCUUUGAGUCUAAUUCACAUUUACUGUUAUACUUUGUUCCACUAUGCUUCUCUGGGUUUUCGGGAAUGAUUCUCUGACUGGAAGAUGGGUGCUGAGAUAGGUCUGGGAUCAGUCAGGGUAAGGUGCUGUUUGGAGCAGACACAAAACCUCAAAUUGAAGUUUAGGUCUAUAUUCCACAUUUAUCAACAAUUCUACCUUGGGUUAAAAAAGUCUUUACAAAGAAAUUUUCUUUGCAAUUAUCAUGAUUCUACAAAAUAUUUUUUCUGGAAAAAUAAGGUCCAUCAUUAAAUCCCAAAGAAAUGCUUUUAUAGAGGGCAGGUUGUUAAUCUUUUCUAUCAGUAAAUCAUAUUUGUUUAUAAUAAUAUUUUGAUAAUUAAUCAAUUAUGGUCUCUUCAAAUAAUCUAAUAGGUUUAUCUUUUGGGCUAUAGUAAUUCUGUGUGAUGAUUCCCUUAUAUUGCUAAGAAUCAUCUAACCUAUUUGCUGAUAUUUUCUAUUUUACAUUUAGAGCUGAAUAUCAAGAUUUAUGAGGAGACCAAUAAUAAGUCUACAUGCUCUGAUAAGCUGAGUUUGAGUCACUCUCAAUUUGCUCUGACAGCAAGAUUUAUACAAGAAAGAAUGAACCAAUGAAAUUUGUGUUUUUUUUUUUUUUUAAUAUUUUACUACAUACUUUCUUCUCUAUGUUGGGACUGCCAUUUUUACUUGCACAUGUCAACAAAAGCAGAAUUAUGAAAAACUUCUAAUAUCUUUCAUUCUUUCUCUACUGUAGAUAUUUGUAAAUAUUUCCUGAAGUCUUUUUUUUUCCCCUCAAUUUUUUAAAACAGAAAUCAAAUGAAAAACAAAAUCUUAUUUUGUACAUGUCUACAUGGCUCUAGUAUCUGUAUGAAGACUGGAUGGAAUGACACAGGUUUUU
ensembl:lncRNA